GACAGAGGGUGCAAACGUUGCUCGGAAUUACUGGGCGUAAAGCGCGUGUAGGUGGCCACGCAAGUCAGGUGUGAAAGCCCAGGGCUCAACCCUGGAAGUGCACAUAAUACUACGUGGCUGGAGUACUGAAGAGGAGAGCGGAAUUCCCGGUGUAGAGGUGAAAUUCGUAGAUAUCGGGAGGAACACCAGUGGCGAAGGCAGCUCUCUGGGCAGAUACUGACACUGAGACGCGAAAGCGUGGGUAGCAAACAGG
rnacentral:rRNA from 1 species